GGAACGGUGGUGUAGUGGUGGCACGCGUCCUCGGUAUGGAUGAAACGCGGGUUCGACUCCCGCCUGAGGUUAUAUUACA